rnacentral:rRNA from 1 species
AUGGCGGGGGUCGCGGCGGAGACGGCCGUGGCUUCGGCCUCGGGAUCGGGGAUCUGGUCGCGGCGGCGGGACGAGAUCACGUUCGAUCGCCUCCAGAAGUUCUGGAAUGACUUGCCACCGCAAGCACGGCGGGAGCUUCUAAAAUUGGAUAAGCAAACCCUCAUUGAACAAGCUCGCAAGAAUUUCUACUGUUCAAGGUGCAAUGGGUUGCUUCUGGAAAAUUUCAAGUCGCUGCAGCAAGAAGUUUCAGAUAUUGAUUGUCUGAGCUCAAGUGGUGAAUCAAAGAUUAGGCAGCAAAAUGGAUCUCAGGAUCCAUCUGUUCACCCUUGGGGAGGUCUUGCAACAACAAAGGAUGGCAUCCUUACGCUUAUUGACUGCUUUAUGAAAGCUAACUCGCUACGGGUGCUCCAGAAUGUAUUUGACAAUGCACGACUAAGAGAAAGGGAACGAGAAAUGCUUUAUCCUGAUGCAUGUGGUGGGGGUGGCAGAGGAUGGAUUAGCCAAGGGAUGGCUAGCUAUAGCAGGGGGUAUGGAACAAGAGAAACAUGUGCUCUGCAUACAGCCCACCUUUCAUGCAAUACACUGGUGAAUUUCUGGUCAGCAUUAUGCGACGAAACUAGAUCUUCUCUUCUGCGGAUGAAGGAGGAUGAUUUCAUUGAAAGACUUAUGUUUAGGUUUGAUAGCAAGAGAUUUUGCCGAGAUUGCCGAAGGAAUGUUAUCCGUGAAUUCAAGGAGCUGAAGGAACUGAAACGCAUUCGAAGGGAACCUCGUUGCACCAGUUGGUUCUGUGUUGCGGACUAUGCUUUUCAAUGCGAGGUAUUUGAGGAUUCCGUCAUAGUUGAUUGGCGCCAAUCUAUAUCAGAGACAGAUGGGUCUUAUCAUCACUUUGAAUGGGCUAUUGGGACAGAUGAAGGACAAUCCGAUGUUUUUGGCUUUGAAAAUGUUGGGAUGAAGACCCAAGUCCAAAGAAGUGGGAUUGAUCUUGACCAAUUUGAAGAUUAUUUCAUAACUCUGAGAGCUUGGAAGCUUGAUGGCCGCUAUACGGAGAUGUGUGUAAAAGCACAUGCACUGAAGGGCCAAUCUUGUGUUCAUCACAGGCUGGUGCUGGGAGAUGGUUUUGUGACAAUUACAAAGGGUGAAAGUAUCAGAAGUUUGUUUGAGCAUGCUGAAGAGGCUGAGGAAGAGGAUGAGGAUGAUGCCAUGGAAAGGGAUGAAAAUGAUCUUGACGGUGAUGGCUCUCAUCCGCAGAAGCAUGCCAAGAGUCCUGAAUUGGCAAGAGAAUUUCUCUUGGAUGCUGCUGCAGUGAUAUUCAAAGAACAGGUUGAGAAGGCUUUUAGAGAAGGCGCAGCCCAGCAAAAUGCACAAAGUGUCUUUGUGUCUUUGGCACUCAAACUUCUGGAGGAGCGAGUGCAUGUAGCAUGCAAAGAAAUCAUUACAUUGGAAAAACAGAACAAGCUUCUCGAGGAAGAGGAGAAAGAGAAGCGUGAAGAACAAGAGCGUAGGAUGAGGAGGAGAACAAAAGAGAGAGAAAAGAAGCACAGGAGAAAAGAGAGGCUGAAAGAGAAGGAAAGGGACAAGGGGAAAAGAGAUGAGUUCAAAACAUCAGACGACAUUUCAUCCUCAACUCUAAGCAACUCCUCGACAUGUACUAACGACGAAUCAGGAAAUACUUUUGGCUCCAGAGCAGCUAGUGAAGAGGAAGAUAAUUCCACAGCUGUGGCUCUGUGCCACGCUGAGAUUGAAUCUUCAUGCAUAGAAAUUGAUGGACAAAACAAUAUAGACUGCUGCGAUACAGUGACCAAAUGUCCUCCAGUUAAUAGCAGUGAACCUUUCACAUCCCAGCAAUCAAAACCAUCACGAAGAAAUCUGAGGUUGAGAAAGGACGUUCCUCAAGACCACUCCUCUUGUUGGUAUGAUGAUGGCCGAGAUGAAUCUAGAAGUGUUGGCAAUCUGCAGUGGCGAUCAAUGGAAAGGAUGAGAAAUGGUGAUGGAAGUUGUAACUCGGUGUGUAGUACAAAUAACAGAACAAGAUAUAGGCAAGACUACAAUUCUUGCAGCUGUGAUCAUCAGGAAAGUUACAAAACAGAGGACAACUGUUUUUUGCCAACAGCUAGAGCAGGCAGGGAGAUGAAGAUGGCAAAGAAAACAGGAGUUGAUAAGCCUUUAGUGCAGUACCGCCGUGUUGGUAGUACAUACGAGAGAAAUGCAAUUCCAAAACAAGUAUGGGAGAGAACGGAUACUCGGAAAAAGACUGGCUUAAAUGACACAGAUAAUAUGUCAGGAUCAGUUGACAAUGUUGAGUCACCCAAACCAGUGGAAUGUGAUACUAGUGGAUGUGAAAAGCUUGACACAGGAUGUGAACCACUAGGCCAGGCUUCUGAAAGCUCCACUGAUGUUUGUAAAUCAGAAACAGAUCAAUCGUAUGGACAACGCGAGGAAAAUCAAUCUGCUUGUUCGGAUGGAACUCCUAUGACGAAUAAACAAAUAUGCCACUCAACAAAUAAUGAAGGUUCUAAGCCAGACGAAGAGCUCAUGACGAACUCUGCCAGUUCUGAUGGCUCAUCUUCAUGUAUGAGCGAGGCAGAUAGAGAAAGCAGUUCAAGCAGUGUGACGUCUUUGAGCGCUCAUACUCCAGAAUCAUCAUCAUCUGACUCAGAGGAAUCUUCGGAGAGAGUCAACAUCAUUACAGAAGCUCCAUCAACAAGAACUGCUUCACGUUCUUUAUUUGAGACGUGUGCAGGAAAUGGUUUCAGAGAAUACCACCCAAAAGCCACAUGCCCGCCUCACAAAGACAGAUUUGGAUUCAGUGUACUCCCCUUCCAGAAUCAGUCAUCGCAUCAGCAGAACAUGCAUGCACCACCUGCAUAUUCACCGACCACAAUUGGGCCACACAGUCACUCGUGUGGUGCUCCAACAAAUGGAUACUUCCAGUAUGGUCAGCCACCCAAUUUCUUCUCUGGUCCAGUCGGAUUCCGAGUACCUGGGAACGGACCUGCUGAUUUCUCGGUGCAGUACAACAAUGUACAUCGCUACCCAGCUCCUGCUUUUAGUUGUAUUCACCCCGAGCAAAUUCUCAAGACACCGGCCAGCUUCAGAGUCAUGCCUCCGCCUCCCCUUCCCCCUUACCGACAUGGAACAGCGCCAACUGGUGGUCAUCCUUAUGGAGGCUUGAAUCCAGACAGGCUUAAUUCAAUGUUGAAGCUGAUGGGCCCGAAGGAUGCUCCAGAUGGUAACAAAUUGCCUGACAAAAGUGCAUCCUUCUCGUUGUUCCAAUUCAACCUGCCGAUAGCUCCGCAAGGCCCACCGUCACCCAAAGAUGGUAAGAGUGGAGACUCCGUAGGAAGGAUGCCGCCAAUUGCUCCGGUUCAAGCGCAGCCAUGCUCUAGAGAGCAGACAGAUGUGAAGGAGUAUAAUCUGUUCUCCACCGAUCAAAGCGGCUAUUUCCCUUUAUCCCGUUAA